ACAUACUAAGUGCUAUUCAAAUAAUAAGUCGCUUCACUAAAAAGCCUUUUCAAACAUAGCACUGAAGGGAAAUACCAGCCUCUAUCUUCACGCUUAGAAACACUGGAUGUUUCCAUUGGGCCAGAAGGCGCGUCUGGCAACGCGGCCCCCAGGAGUGACGGGGAACAGCGCCGCCAAGUGGGCUACCAGGGAACUGCACCUCUAACGGCAGCCGAGGUGUGAGCAAACUGCUUAGGUCGCGAAGCAGGGAAGGCGCUCCGUGCUGCCCUAACCUGUUUGCUCCAGGGAGCAGCCACUGGAGUGGUUUAAGGUACUUGGCGAGGAGUGAAAGAGUUGGAGGAAAGGAAUGCCGGCGAUGUCAUACACCUCGUUCUGCUGCCGCAUGAUUUCCCUGCUUAGCAUUAUCUGUCCCAAGUUUGACUCACCCCCAAUGGCUAGGACUGCAGGCUGCACACCAUGCCUGGCUGAUUAUUUCUGAUAGAAGAAAACCCUCCCAGAAAUGCUGCAGACUGGCCCGGCUGACUGCAGGAACCGGGACUGCACUAAGAUGGAAACGGGAAAGAGCCUCGGUCAGCUGAGCUCAGCUCUAACUCCCAGGAGGAGACCACCUGAUUUUCGUGAAGGACCUAGAUACACCAAGCACCAAGCAGCACCGAAUGGCUCAAGGCUAGGCCCAAACAAAGCAGUCAGACCAGCGCCUCAGACUCCUUCCUUCUAAAGGUCACCUCGAUUCCCGACAGCACUCCUGGAGGCUGGGUCCCUCCUGAAGGUCACGCCUAGCCUGACCCCCUCAUCGGUCCAUGCCCCUCACGGAAAAUCGGGGUUCCAUCUGCACACCGCUGCUCCCCGCGUGUCCAUAUUGGGUGAGCACAAUUCUUCCUACCUGAAAGUGUGAGCCAGCCCUUUAGCCUACCAAGUACACCGUUAUCCUUUUCCUCAAAAAACUUUACUUUGAAAACUUUCCACCUGCAGGGCCGGGGAUUUAGCUCAGUGGCUUCGCCACCUGCUGCGCAAGCGCAAGGAUCUGAGUUCGAUCCCCGGUAUCAAAAAAAAAAAAGGGGGG
rnacentral:lncRNA from 1 species